GACUGGAUAGCCAAGUGGUCAAAGGCAGCGCUUCUAGCAAUGAUGAUGUCCCAGGUUUGAAUCCUGGUCUAGUCA
rnacentral:tRNA from 1 species